rnacentral:rRNA from 1 species
GUAGGUGGCAAGCGUUGUCCGGAAUUAUUGGGCGUAAAGCGCGCGCAGGCGGUCCUUUAAGUCUGAAGUGAAAGCCCACGGCUCAACCGUGGAGGGUCAUUGGAAACUGGGGGACUUGAGUACAGAAGAGGAAAGCGGAAUUCCAAGUGUAGCGGUGAAAUGCGUAGAGAUUUGGAGGAACACCAGUGGCGAAGGCGGCUUUCUGGUCUGUAACUGACGCUGAGGCGCGAAAGCGUGGGGAGCAAACAGGAUUAGAUACCCUGGUAGUCCACGCCGUAAACGAUGAGUGCUAAGUGUUAGGGGUUUCCCGCCCCCCUUAGUGCUGCAGCUAACGCAUUAAGCACUCCGCCUGGGGGAGUACGGCCGCAAGGCUG